ACCUGAGUGACCUUUGCUAGUCCUAACUCAGCCAGGACUGGUCUCAGACGUGGUGAUGAUCAGGGUUCAUUUUGGCAUCCCUCUCUGAACACCU
rnacentral:pre_miRNA from 12 species